rnacentral:rRNA from 1 species
AGAAUCAACGCCGGCGGCGUGCCUCACACAUGCAAGUCGAACGCGAAAGUGGAGCAAUCCAUUAGUAGAGUGGCAAACGGGUGAGUAACACGUGGGCGACCUACCUCAGAGUGGGGGAUAACCUUCCGAAAGGAGGGCUAAUACCGCAUGACAUCCCGUGUUUGGAUACACGGAGAUCAAAGCCGGGGAUCGCAAGACCUGGCGCUUGGAGAGGGGCCCGCGUCCGAUUAGCUAGUUGGUGAGGUAACGGCUCACCAAGGCUCCGAUC